rnacentral:tRNA from 1 species
GGGGAUAUGGCUCAGUGGUAGAGUGCUUGCCUCUCAGGUAUGAGGCAUUGGGUUCAAUCCUUAGCACCA